rnacentral:lncRNA from 1 species
CUGAACUGUCAGUGGGAGAAAUUGGAGCGGGGCGUGGCACGGGCCCGGGCGGGCUCCCUGUGCGCUGUAGCCUGGGGCACUGCUAGACCCAGGUGCUGCUGGGAGAGGAAUGAGCGUUGUAAAUGGUGAGCGGUGGUUACAGAAGCCUCUGUCCUUCCACGCCGAGAGAAGUCCCACUGAAAAAUGACUGCAGUGUGCCACAGGAGACGGAGGGGAUUUCCCCAGCUGAACUGGAGCAGGUCUGGGUUGAUCCAGAGACAGAGCAUCAGGGUCUCCUGCAAUGCCCAGUUCAGGAGCAGCCACACUAAGCAACAGCUUCUCAUGUGAGAGGCAGAGCUCCAGCACUCUGCUG